CCUACGGGAGGCAGCAGUGGGGAAUAUUGCACAAUGGGGGAAACCCUGAUGCAGCGACGCCGCGUGAGUGAAGAAGUAUUUCGGUAUGUAAAGCUCUAUCAGCAGGGAAGAAAAUGACGGUACCUGAUUAAGAAGCCCCGGCUAACUACGUGCCAGCAGCCGCGGUAAUACGUAGGGGGCAAGCGUUAUCCGGAUUUACUGGGUGUAAAGGGAGCGUAGACGGCAGCACAAGUCUGGAGUAAAAUGCCGGGGCUUAACCCCGGGACUGCUUUGGAAACUGUGCAGCUAGAGUGCAGGAGAGGUAAGUGGAAUUCCUAGUGUAGCGGUGAAAUGCGUAGAUAUUAGGAUGAACACCGGUGGCGAAGGCGGCUUACUGGACUGUAACUGACGUUGAGGCUCGAAAGCGUGGGGAGCGAACAGGAUUAGAUACCCCUGUAGUC
rnacentral:rRNA from 1 species